CUUCCUGGGUCCACAGCCACGAGGACUCCACCCUCCUGGGUCACACACAAUCUGCUUGUGGCUCAUUAAACCAACAGACCAUCCUGACCACAGCUCCAGUACACGAGAAACAGACCUGCAUAAGUUUGAUCUCUUUGAUCUCAAGCAAUCUACAGUCACAUGGGUUAAAAAAAAGAUAGGAAACUGCCCCACAACAAAACCUUGAAAAAUACUGUAGAACUGGUGGAGUUUCAAAAGCAGGAUGAAAGGAAAGAGGUCAUUAAUUAAUAAGCAAAGGAAAAAAAAAUCCAGAAGGAUUACAGAACA